AGUGAACGCUGGCGGUAGGCCUAACACAUGCAAGUCGAACGGCAGCACAGUAAGAGCUUGCUCUUACGGGUGGCGAGUGGCGGACGGGUGAGGAAUACAUCGGAAUCUACUUUUUCGUGGGGGAUAAAGUAGGGAAACUUACGCUAAUACCGCAUACGACCUACGGGUGAAAGCAGCGGAUCUUCGGACCUUGCGCGAUUGAAUGAGCCGAUGUCGGAUUAGCUAGUUGGCGGGGUAAAGGCCCACCAAGGCGACGAUCCGUAGCUGGUCUGAGAGGAUGAUCAGCCACACUGGAACUGAGACACGGUCCAGACUCCUACGGGAGGCAGCAGUGGGGAAUAUUGGACAAUGGGCGCAAGCCUGAUCCAGCCAUGCCGCGUGUGUGAAGAAGGCCUUCGGGUUGUAAAGCCCUUUUGUUGGGAAAGAAAAGCAGUAGGUUAAUACCCCGCUGUUCUGACGGUACCCAAAGAAUAAGCACCGGCUAACUUCGUG
rnacentral:rRNA from 1 species